UACGUAGGGAGCAAGCGUUGUCCGGAAUCAUUGGGCGUAAAGCGCGCGUAGGCGGCUCGAUCAGUCUGUUGUGAAAGUCAAAGGCUCAACCUUUGAAAGCCGAUGGAUACUGUCGAGCUAGAGUCCGGAAGAGGCGGGUGGAAUUCCUGGUGUAGCGGUGAAAUGCGCAGAUAUCAGGAGGAACACCGGUGGCGAAGGCGCCACUCUGGGCCGAAACUGACGCUGAGGAGCGAAAGCGUGGGGAGCAAACAGG
rnacentral:rRNA from 1 species